rfam:Asian citrus Psyllid, Diaphorina citri - Florida Strain, whole genome shotgun sequence.
GCCUAGUUAGCUUAGUUGGUAGUGCGUCUGCCUUGUAAGCGCUACGCCGCGGGUUCGAUUCCCGCCCGGGGCG